rnacentral:lncRNA from 1 species
GCAUGAGCCACCAGGCCCAGCCUGUUUUAUUUUGUUUUUGAGACAGGGUCUCACUCUGUUGCACAUACUGGAGUGCUGUGAUGCAAUCACAGCUCACUGCAGCCUCAACUUUCUAGAUUAAGUCAUCCUUCCACCUCAGCCUCCUGAGUAGCUGGUACUACAGAUGUGUACCACUGUGCCCAGCUAAUUUUUUUUUUCUUGGCAAAGAUAGGGUUUCACUAUGUUGCCCUGGCUAGUCUCAAACUCCUAGGCUCUGAGCCUGCCUGCCUUGGCCUACCAAAGUGCUGGAUAAUUAUAGGCAUGAGCCACCAGGCCUG